rnacentral:rRNA from 1 species
AUGAACGCUAGCUACAGGCUUAACACAUGCCAGUCGAGGGGCAGCAUGGUCUUAGCUUGCUAAGGCCGAUGGCGACCGGCGCACGGGUGAGUAACACGUAUCCAACCUGCCGUCUACUCUUGGACAGCCUUCUGAAAGGAAGAUUAAUACAAGAUGGCAUCAUGAGUCCGCAUGUUCACAUGAUUAAAGGUAUUCCGGUAGACGAUGGGGAUGCGUUCCAUUAGAUAGUAGGCGGGGUAACGGCCCACCUAGUCUUCGAUGGAUAGGGGUUCUGAGAGGAAGGUCCCCCACAUUGGAACUGAGACACGGUCCAAACUCCUACGGGAGGCAGCAGUGAGGAAUAUUGGUCAAUGGGCGCAGGCCUGAACCAGCCAAGUAGCGUGAAGGAUGACUGCCCUAUGGGUUGUAAACUUCUUUUAUAAAGGAAUAAAGUCGGGUAUGUAUACCCGUUUGCAUGUACUUUAUGAAUAAGGAUCGGCUAACUCCGUG